UCUUGGUUCAAGUAGCUCCGCAGCAUUUCAAAGAACGUAUGGAGAGGUUCCUGACUUGCCUCUGUAGAGCUAUAUAUCGACAAGUACCCUUGUUCACAACUUAUGAGAUCCAUAUUGUUAUUCUCUAUAACAUAGAUCUGAAAACUGAAGCUCGAAGGCUGGCACUGCUCUUUGAGGCGGACAUCACACCCUGACAGCUCUGCCCAGCCCUUGGGGUAGAGAGGGGUCUUAUGAAGGGACGCAGGAUGGCCACCUCCCUUCCUGAGUGCUUUCCACCACAAAUUCCAACAUCCGCAUUGCCUCUCCUGAAAUCAGCAGGAGCCCAGGUUUCAGAAUGCGUGACAAUUUCAAGGAGAAAGAAGGAAGAGAGGGUGAAUGAAUGAGCUGGGGUACACUUCCUAUAACAUACAAAGGGAAAAUGAGAACUUGUCAUGGAUAAAACAUUCAGAUUUACUAUGAAAAUAGUAAUGUUUCUCAAUUGGUGUACUAAGUAUAUACAAUCAGCAUUUGCCCCUCAAAUCAAAAGAAGGCAGCAUAGUCUCACUUGAAGAGGGAAAGUGGGUAUUAAAAGCUGCUUUUCUUCAUGCUCCCUGUCCAAAUGGCUUCAGAUGUCUGGGACGGUCUCAUGAAAUUAGUCCGUCCUUUGCUUCCUGGUAGAGUUCCCCCUUCACCUUAUGGAACAACAUUCCUAAUGCUAAAAAUAACUGGAGUGUGAGUCCAAGACUUCCAUGUUGGUCAUCUCAUGUACCUGGCAGUACUGUGGAGUCCUCCUCUCACUCAUCUCUAAUAACAGAGUAUCAUCAAGCCUCACCAAAGUUGCUUCCUUGAUAAUUACCCCUGAUUAUAACACCCUAUGUCACAGUUAUAGGCUUGCCAAAUGUUAAACUGACUUUGUGCAGUGGCUCCAUGAUAUAAACAACUAUGAUACACUUUUCUCAUAGGAGGUGUUUUGUUGUUUUAUUUGUGGAGGCAAGGAACAAAAUGAGGCAAAACCGUCAAAUUGUCUUCCAAGUAAAUUACUUCUCUAAUAGAAAUUAGGGUCCAAGUUCAAGUCAUAACUAUAACUAGCCACAUAGUUUUGUUCAAGUCAUUCUACACUGCUGGGCUUAAUUUUCUCCACUUGGAAAAUGAAUGUGCAUAUGAGGGGGAUAAUAUUCCAGUGAUAAAUUGUGGAAGCAGUAGAAAUAGCAAACUGGGGAACAAUCUUACCUGAAUGUGUUGAGUGUGAAUAUGAGUAUGUUGAAGCACAUAAAUAUAGGGAAUGUAUUUGGGUUCUGUUUUUGCUUCCAUGACUGAUUCCUUCUGAGUCGUGGGGCAUUUAUUCAGUUUCUGCAUGCAUUCACUCAU